GAUCCUGGCUCAGAUUGAACGCUGGCGGCAGGCUUAACACAUGCAAGUCGAACGAUGACUCUCUAGCUUGCUAGAGAUGAUUAGUGGCGGACGGGUGAGUAACAUUUAGGAAUCUGCCUAGUAGUGGGGGAUAGCUCGGGGAAACUCGAAUUAAUACCGCAUACGACCUACGGGUGAAAGGGGGCGCAAGCUCUUGCUAUUAGAUGAGCCUAAAUCAGAUUAGCUAGUUGGUAGGGG
rnacentral:rRNA from 1 species